rnacentral:rRNA from 1 species
CGCGCGAGGAUGGGGCUGCGUCCCAUCAGGCAGUUGGUGGGGUAAUGGCCCACCAAACCUAUAACGGGUACGGGCCGUGAGAGCGGGAGCCCGGAGAUGGGCACUGAGACAAGGGCCCAGGCUCUACGGAGCGCACCAAGCGCGAAACCUUCGCAAUGCGGGAAACCGUGACGGGGCCAUCCCGAGUGCAGGCUGCUGAGGUCUGCUUUUGCCCAGUGUAAGAAGCUGGGCGAAUAAGUGGGGGGCAAGACUGGUGUCAGCCGCCGCGGUAAUACCAGCUCCACGAGUGGUCAGGACGGUUAUUGGGCCUAAAGCGUCCGUAGCCGGCCCGGUAAGUUUAUGGUGAAAUCCGGCAUCUCAAGUGUCGGAGCGCUGUAAAUACUGCCGGGCUAGGGAGCGGGAGAGGCCGAGGGUACCUCCGGGGUAGGGGCGAAAUCCUAUAAUCCCGGAGUGACGACCAGUGGCGAAAGCGCUCGGCUAGAACGCGUCCGACGGUGAGGGACGAAAGCUGGGGUAGCAAACCGGAUUAGAUACCCGGGUAGUCCCAGCCGUAAACUAUGCGGGCUAGUUGUCGGAACGGCUUAGGGCCGCUCCGGUAACGCAGGGAAGCCAUUAAGCCCGCCGCCUGGGGAGUACGACCGCAAGGUUGAAACUUAAAGGAAUUGGCGGGGGAGCACCACAAGGGGUGAAGCUGCGGCUCAAUGGAUCAACGC